AUAACGGUGUCUUUAGACACCAACUUUUUUGUCUUCGAAAUUAUAU
rfam:Picea glauca, whole genome shotgun sequence.